rnacentral:rRNA from 1 species
UACGUAGGGGGGCUAGCGUUGUCCGGAAUCAUUGGGCGUAAAGCGCGUGUAGGCGGUCCGGUAAGUCCGCUGUGAAAGUCGGGGGGCUCAACCCUCGAAUGCCGGUGGAUACUGUCGGGCUAGAGUCCGGAAGAGGCGAGUGGAAUUCCUGGUGUAGCGGUGAAAUGCGCAGAUAUCAGGAGGAACACCAAUGGCGAAGGCAGCUCGCUGGGACGGUACUGACGCUGAGGCGCGAAAGCGUGGGGGAGCAAACAGG